UUAACCCGUGAUUGCUGGGGCUGACUCUCGCUCUUCCAGGGGCCGUCGUUCUUUUACAAAGAGGGGUGGAGGUUGUUGUUGCCUUUUUUUUUUUUUUUUUCCUUUAUGAAUGGAGGGCGGCGGCGACUGCUGCAGCUGGCUCAGCUGCGCGGGCUGUACCCCCUCCCAGACUGCGAGAGGAGAUGUGGGAGCUAAAUCCAGAGCAACCCCUGAGAGCAGUAGGAAGAGAAGAAGGAGAAAAAAAAAAAAAGAUCAAGAGGAGCUCUUUUGGUCCUUGCUUGCAAAUCACAGAAAUUCCCUGGUAAUCUUGAAGACUCCGCUGAUGCAGUGAUUGGUGAGCUAUGACUUUGGGAAUGGACAUAUUUAGACUUUGCCCAAAGACUGCCACUUAAUUGUUGAUGGAUCUCAGAGGACACGGGUUCGAGCCCUGGUCCGGGAAGAUCCCACAUGCCAUGGACCCGUGCGCUGCAACUACUGAGCCUGCACUCUAGAACCCACAAGCCACAAGUGCUGAGGCCCGCGUGCCACAACUACUGAAGCCCACGUGCCUAGAGCCCGUGUUCCGCAACAGGAGAGGCCACCACAACGAAAGGCCUGCGCACCGCAAUGAAGAGUAGCCCCCACUCACCGCAACUAGAGAAAGCCCGCGCGCAGCAUGGAAGACCCAAC